rnacentral:rRNA from 1 species
GACGAACGCUGGCGGCGUGCUUAACACAUGCAAGUCGAACGGAAAGGCCCUGCUUUUGUGGGGUGCUCGAGUGGCGAACGGGUGAGUAACACGUGAGUAACCUGCCCUUGACUUUGGGAUAACUUCAGGAAACUGGGGCUAAUACCGGAUAGGAGCUCCUGCUGCCUGGUGGGGGUUGGAAAGGUUCGGCGGUUGGGGAUGGACUCGCGGCUUAUCAGCUUGUAGGUGGGGUAGUGGCUUACCAAGGCUUUGACGGGUAGCCGGCCGGCGAGGGUGACCGGCCACAUUGGGACUGAGAUGAGGCCCAGACUACUACGGGAGGCAGCAGUGGGGAAUAUUGCACAAUGGGCGGAAGCAUGAUGCAGCAACGCCGCGUGCGGGAUGACGGGAAUCUGGUUGUAAACCGCUUUCGCCUGUGACGAAGCGUGAGUGACGGUAAUGGGUAAAGAAGCACCGGCUAACUACGUG